GUGGAUUAGAUACCCUGGUAGUCCACACCGUAAACGAUGGAUACUAGGUGUCGGGGACUUGAUCUUCGGUGCCGUAGCUAACGCGUUAAGUAUCCCGCCUGGGGAGUACGGUCGCAAGGCUGAAACUCAAAGAAAUUGACGGGGGCCCGCACAAGCGGUGGAGUAUGUGGUUUAAUUCGAUGCAACGCGAAGAACCUUACCUAGGCUUGACAUCCUGGGAAUCCCGCAGAGAUGCGGGAGUGCCCUUCGGGGAAUCCAGAGACAGGUGCUGCACGGCUGUCGACAGCU
rnacentral:rRNA from 1 species